AUUUGUCCCAGAAAUGAGAGAACAGUAACUGAGACAGCCUAUGUCAAUGAAUAAAGGGAUGACCUGGAGGGUGAAUACCACUGAAAGAAUUCCUGUGAUGGCUUCACUAGUUGUAUAGACCUCCAUCUGCUGUUUGGACUCCUGAGCCUAACGUCAUGGUGUUCUAGUCAGCAAUGGCAGGAACCUAGGGCUCAUGGCUGCACGCUGCCCCUGUCUGAAAGAAGCUCAUACUACAGGCAGCCGCUCCAGCGGGACUCCCUUGGUAAUUAACCCUAAGCCCUAAAAAGGACCCUAAUCUCAGUGCUACUUAAACUGCAUCCUGACCUUUCCUGUCUGUUAGGAGCAAUAGACCCUGCUUGCUUGUCCUGUACAAGAUCCACAUGAGGAGGCCAGGGACUUCCAAUAGAUCCUACCAUUCUCUAGAAAUAUGCAUGAUCUGAUCCUUUGAAAAUCUUUUCUUCUACUCGUGGUGGCUCAUACAUGUGUCAGCUUGAGAUGUCAGAAGCUUGGCUGGAUCUGCUUGGUGAUUCCACGCCCUGGGGUGUGGGGGCCCCACCCUACAGUGUCUUGGCCCAAAAAGGGGUUGAGCAAGGCUCCCCCCCACACACACAC